rnacentral:lncRNA from 1 species
GAAUGAUCGACCCGAGAGCUUUUUGGCUAUGUUGAUUAAAGCCUUGGAUCACGAUUUUCUCCGAGGACAGAUGAUCGACAUUCAGAGCUAAACUUUUCAAAGUUCUUAAAGUCAAAAUAUUGAUUGAGGAUCCAGGAUCGAUUAAAAUGCGAUUAAUCUUAUCUCCAUCACUUGUCCCAGUCACAUAUAACGGCCUAUUGUGAUGAGCAG